rnacentral:rRNA from 1 species
CCUACGGGUGGCAGCAGUGGUGAAUAUUGCACAAUGGGGGAAACCCUGAUGCAGCGACGCCGCGUGAGUGAAGAAGUAUCUCGGUACGUAAAGCUCUAUCAGCAGGGAAGAAAAUGACGGUACCUGACUAAGAAGCCCCGGCUAACGACGUGCCAGCAGCCGCGGUAAUACGUAGGGGGCAAGCGUUAUCCGGAUUUACUGGGUGUAAAGGGAGCGUAGACGGCAGCACAAGUCUGGAGUGAAAUCCCGGGGCUUAACCCCGGAACUGCUUUUGAAACUGUGCGGCUGGAGUGCAGGAGGGGUAAGCGGAAUUCCUAGUGUAGCGGUGAGAUGCGUAGAUAUUAGGAGGAACACCGGUGGCGAAGGCGGCUUACUGAUCUGUAACUGACGUUGAGGCUCGAAAGCGUGGGGAGCAAACAGGAUUAGAUACCCGGGUAGUC